ACUCCAUUCGUCUAUCGGUUAGGACGUUGGGUUUUCAACCCAAAAAGAUCAGUUCAAUUCUGUUAUGGAGUACCA
rnacentral:tRNA from 3 species